rnacentral:rRNA from 1 species
CUACGGGAUGCUGCAGUGGGGAAUAUUGCACAAUGAGCGAAAGCUUGAUGCAGCCAUACCGCGUGUGUGAAGAAGGCCCGAGGGUUGUAAAGCACUUUCAAUUGUGAGGAAGGUUCAGUAGUUAAUACCUGCUGUUCUUGACGUUAACUUUAGAAGAAGCACCGGCUAGCUCUGUGCCAGCAGCCGCGGUAAUACAGAGGGUGCAAGCGUUAUUCGGAAUUACUGGGCGUAAAGCGCGCGUAGGCGGAUUGUUAAGUCAGUUGUGAAAGCCCUGGGCUCAACCUGGGAACUGCAUCUGAUACUGGCAAUCUAGAGUUUAAGAGAGGGAAGUGGAAUUCCAGGUGUAGCAGUGAAAUGCGUAGAUAUCUGGAGGAACAUCAGUGGCGAAGGCGACUUCCUGGCUUAAAACUGACGCUGAGGUGCGAAAGCGUGGGUAGCGAACGGGAUUAGAUACCCUAGUAGUC